UCCCUGAGACCCUAACUUGUGACGUUUUGGUUUCAAGUCCACGGGUUAGGCUCUCGGGAGCU
rnacentral:pre_miRNA from 1 species